AGACGAAGCGCGCCAGGUCCCGCUCCUGCUCCCUGCCGGCCGCCGCCAUCGCCGCCUUGGUCGCGCAACCGCCGUGGAGCUUCCUCAGCGACCCGCGGAGCGCGACGUCCACAGAGACGCUGGACCUGACACAAACUAGUGCCCCCCCCCCCCGGCCACCACAGGGAUGGGGCAGAGGCAGGGACCAGAGAAGACCGGCUUCCACACCUCACCAGUGUAUUCACUCUCACUGGGCCCACCCUGUGCUCCACUGGCAGUCGGUGGGGACGGCCUCUGACAGGACUACCAGCAGGAUGUCACGAGAGCCAGCAGAUUUCUGCGGCCUUUGUUUCACCUGAGAUAAGGUCUCCCCACUCCCUUUUUUGGCCCUUUGUGAAUGAGAGAACCACGGGAUGGGACCCGGCUCAACACUGAGUCUCGGCUUAAAUCUCGCCUAGAGAUGCCUUCUCGAACCUCCCAGUUCAAGUAGCUCCACUUCUCGUCUCCACCAAGUUACCCGGUUUUAUUUUCCUCGUGACUCUCAGAACAUUUUCCUGUUUCUACAUGUGUUUGUUGAUGAUCUGA